rnacentral:rRNA from 1 species
GGUGAACCUGCGGAGGGAUCAUUAAAGAGUUAAACAACUCCUAAACCCAUGUGAACCUACCUUUGUUGCCUCGGCAGGUCUGCAACUUACCCUGAGGGGACCUACCCUGUAGGGACCUUACCCGGUAGUUGCCGGCAUAACCUGCCGGUGGUCUACUAAACUCUGUUUACUAUGUUAUUCUGAAUAAUAUAACUAAAUAAGUUAAAACUUUCAACAACGGAUCUCUUGGUUCUGGCAUCGAUGAAGAACGCAGCGAAAUGCGAUAAGUAAUGUGAAUUGCAGAAUUCAGUGAAUCAUCGAAUCUUUGAACGCACAUUGCGCCCAUUAGUAUUCUAGUGGGCAUGCCUGUUCGAGCGUCAUUUCAACCCUUAAGCCCUGUUGCUUAGCGUUGGGAGCCUACAGAUANCCCUCUGUAGUUCCUUAAAGUUAGUGGCGGAGUCGGUUUCACACUCUAGACGUAGUAAAUUUUAUCUCGCCUAUAGAUGAGCCGGUCCCUUGCCGUAAAACCCCCUAAUUUCUAAAGGUUGACCUCGGAUCAGGUAGGAAUACCCGCUGAACUUAAGCAUAUCAAUAAGCGGAGGA